rnacentral:tRNA from 1 species
GCGGACGUGGCGGAACUUGGUAUACGCGUACGUCUCAGAAGCGUAUGGAGCAAUCCUUGAGGGUUCAAGUCCCUCCGUCCGCACAA